UACGUAGGCAGCAAGCGUUGUUCGGAAUUACUGGGCGUAAAGAGUGUGUAGGCGGUGCUCUAAGUUUGGUGUGAAAUCUCCCGGCUCAACUGGGAGGGUGCGCCGAAAACUGGGGUGCUGGAGCGCGGGAGAGGAAAGCGGAAUUCCUGGUGUAGCGGUGAAAUGCGUAGAUAUCAGGAGGAACACCGGCGGUGUAGACGGCUUUCUGGACCGUAGCUGACGCUGAGACACGAAAGCGUGGGUAGCAAACAGG
rnacentral:rRNA from 1 species